rnacentral:rRNA from 1 species
AUUGAACGCUGGCGGCAGGCCUAACACAUGCAAGUCGAGCGGAUGAAGGGAGCUUGCUCCUGGAUUCAGCGGCGGACGGGUAAGUAAUGCCUAGGAAUCUGCCUGGUAGUGGGGGAUAACGUCCGGAAACGGGCGCUAAUACCGCAUACGUCCUGAGGGAGAAAGUGGGGGAUCUUCGGACCUCACGCUAUCAGAUGAGCCUAGGUCGGAUUAGCUAGUUGGUGGGGUAAAGGCCUACCAAGGCGACGAUCCGUAACUGGUCUGAGAGGAUGAUCAGUCACACUGGAACUGAGACACGGUCCAGACUCCUACGGGAGGCAGCAGUGGGGAAUAUUGGACAAUGGGCGAAAGCCUGAUCCAGCCAUGCCGCGUGUGUGAAGAAGGUCCUCGGAUUGUAAAGCACUUUAAGUUAGGAGGAAGGGCAGUAAGUUAAUACCUUGCUGUUUUGACGUUACCAACAGAAUAAGCACCGGCUAACUUCGUG